UACAGAGGUGGCAAGCGUUAUUCGGAAUUACUGGGCGUAAAGGGCGCGUAGGCGGUCUUGUAAGUCUUGUGUGAAAUCCCUCGGCUUAACUGAGGAACUGCACGGGAUACUGCGAGACUUGAGAUCGGGAGAGGGAAGCGGAAUUCCGGGUGUAGCGGUGAAUGCGUAGAAUAUCCGGAGGAACACCGGUGGCGAAGGCGGCU
rnacentral:rRNA from 1 species